rnacentral:rRNA from 1 species
CUCUACAACCCUUUGUGACAUACCUAUAACUGUUGCUUCGGCGGGUAGGGUCUCCGUGACCCUCCCGGCCUCCCGCCCCCGGGCGGGUCGGCGCCCGCCGGAGGAUAACCAAACUCUGAUUUAACGACGUUUCUUCUGAGUGGUACAAGCAAAUAAUCAAAACUUUUAACAACGGAUCUCUUGGUUCUGGCAUCGAUGAAGAACGCAGCGAAAUGCGAUAAGUAAUGUGAAUUGCAGAAUUCAGUGAAUCAUCGAAUCUUUGAACGCACAUUGCGCCCGCCAGCAUUCUGGCGGGCAUGCCUGUUCGAGCGUCAUUUCAACCCUCAAGCUCUGCUUGGUGUUGGGGCCCUACAGCUGAUGUAGGCCCUCAAAGGUAGUGGCGGACCCUCCCGGAGCCUCCUUUGCGUAGUAACUUUACGUCUCGCACUGGGAUCCGGAGGGACUCUUGCCGUAAAACCCCCAAUUUUCCAAAGGUUGACCUCGGAUCAGGUAGGAAUACCCGCUGAA